rnacentral:rRNA from 2 species
UGAGGAAUAUUGCGCAAUGGGGGAAACCCUGACGCAGCAACGCCGCGUGGGUGAAGAAGGCCCUCGUUGGUUGUAAAGCCCUGUCAGGCGGGAAGAAACCUUUUCAGGUGAAUAGUCUGGAAAGCUGACGGUACCGCCAAAGGAAGCACCGGCUAACUCCGUGCCAGCAGCCGCGGUAAGACGGAGGGUGCAAGCGUUGUUCGGAAUCACUGGGCGUAAAGCGCGUGUAGGCGGUCCGGUAAGUCGGGUGUGAAAUCCCGAGGCUUAACCUCGGAAGUGCACUCGAAACUGUCGGGCUUGAGUACGGGAGAGGGAAGUGGAAUUCCUGGUGUAGAGGUGAAAUUCGUAGAUAUCAGGAGGAACACCGGUGGCGAAGGCGGCUUCCUGGACCGAUACUGACGCUGAGACGCGAAAGCGUGGGGAGCAAACAGG